UUAGGAAUAUUCGUCAAUGGGGGAAACCCUGAACGAGCAAUGCCGCGUGAAUGAUGACGGUCCUUUGGAUUGUAAAAUUCUGUUGUAUGGGAAGAACACUAAGUAUAGGAAAUGAUGCUUAGCUGACGGUACCAUUCGAGAAAGCCCCGGCUAACUACGUGCCAGCAGCCGCGGUAAUACGUAGGGGGCGAGCGUUAUCCGGAUUUAUUGGGCGUAAAGCGUGUGUAGGCGGUUUAUUAAGUAUAAGAUUAAAGCCCGAAGCUUAACUUCGGUUCGUCUUAUAAACUGGUAGACUUGAGUAUGGUAGAGGCAAAUGGAAUUUCUAGUGUAGCGGUAAAAUGCGUAGAUAUUAGAAGGAAUACCAGUGGCGAAGGCGGUUUGCUGGGCCAUUACUGACGCUGAGACACGAAAGCGUGGGGAGCAAAUAGGAUUAGA
rnacentral:rRNA from 1 species